UCCCUGAUGGUCCAGUGGUUAGGACUCUGCACUUCCACUGCUGAGGGUGUGGGUUCAAUCCCUGGUCAGGGAA
rfam:TPA: Bos taurus chromosome 5, whole genome shotgun sequence.